UACGUAGGUGGCAAGCGUUGUCCGGAUUUACUGGGCGUAAAGAGCGCGCAGGCGGUCGUUCAAGUCGCGUGUGAAAGCCCCCGGCUCAACUGGGGAGGGUCACGCGAUACUGAUCGACUCGAAGGCAGGAGAGGGAAGUGGAAUUCCCGGUGUAGUGGUGAAAUGCGUAGAGAUGUGGAGGAACACCGAUGGCGAAGGCAGCCCCCUGGGUUAACACUGACGCUCAGGCACGAAAGCGUGGGGAGCAAACAGG
rnacentral:rRNA from 1 species